AUGGAUGAAAUUGAACACAACGGUGCAUUUGUUUCUCUGGAUGCAGCAGGAGCGGACAUGCUUAUGCGGGAUCAUCUAGGUGCUAUUAAUUUUUCAGCUUGCAGAGCCCUCUUUACAUGCAGAGAUGCAUUGGAGGCGGAACUAUGCACAUGCAUGGAGGGGCUCUCCCUGGCCAUUCAACGGACGGAUCUUCCUAUUGUCGUGGAGCUGGAUUCUCUCGAAGCGGUAUCUUUGAUAUCGGGUGCGGAGCUUGAUCGCUCAGUUUAUGCUUCAAUUGUGAAGGAGAUAAAGCUUUUGAUGAGUCCUAGACAAACUUGUAUUACUCAUGUAUCUAGAUCUCAAAAUAAAGCUAGUGAUAUGUUAGCUUCUUUUGCUAGAACUCAUGGUAGGACUAUGACCUGGCUAGGAGCUGGCCCGAGUGAGGUUUUGGAGAUUACCUCAGAUGAUUGUAAGGACAUUGUGAUUGAGUAA
rnacentral:rRNA from 1 species